UGCAUAUUUCCUGACCCUCGCUCCGGAGCCAAAGGUGGAGAUGCCCCUCAUUGUGUCGCACUCUCAUGGGUAUGAUGACAGAUGCCUGCGGAGGAUCUGGGAGACUUUCUUAUUCUUCUGCCGAUAUUUCAACACAGUGGCUACGGGGGAGAUCGCUUGGCAGCCUUGGGCAAUGAUGCUGGCUGGAGUCAGGGACCAGUAUGCCAUUGCUUGGGGGGCAUCUCAUUUUCAGCUUCUGCUAGAGGGCCCGAUUUGCUGAGCCUGGUUUUUAGGCAAGUGGUUAAUACACCAGACCAUGGGUUUGCCUGAGCCAGUAGUGCCCAUGCCUCUUUCAGCAUCUAUGAGGACCACGGAGAGCCUCUCCUUCCAAGAGAUGAUCCAGUUCACGGAGGGCUUGGAUGCUGACUACUUCCACGGGGAGGGGGAUUAUUCGAUAUUCAUUUAAACAGAUCUCAUGCCUCUCUUGACGGGCGCUCGUGCAGGCACGGUAGCAGGUGCCCCUAUGGCAGGUAAAACUCGGGUGACGAGGGCCAAGACUAGAAGGGUUCCUUCCACUGGACAGGCUGCAGGUUGGCCAGAGAUCCCGACCAUGCUAACAGGCUGGAGGCUGGUUGGGAUAUCAUUUCAGAUUCUGAUUGAGCCAGCAGAGUCCGGGCAUAGAUACAUUCGAGCUCACACGCACCUCCGGUAUGUACCAUAUUUUCCUCAGCUUUCCAUUUUCUUUUCGAUAUUUGUUCAUUCUGGAUACUGAUCCUUCCCAAUACAACUACAAGCACCCCCGGGAUACACUGAGGGACUGCUCGAGCUAGUAGCUUUGUUCGACAGCAUGAUACUGAGGAGAAAGACACUGCUUAGUCUCCAUGGCAUCCAAGUUCUAGCCAUACCGAGAGCAUCGGCAGUGGUGACGACUGUGCCUGUACCAUAACCACCUCCUCCAGUAGCAAAGAGGAGAGAGAGAGACGGGCCCUAGUACGCAGCCAAGAGGAGCGUCAUGAUCGAGGUCGGAGGAGCCCUUCGGAGCCAGUGUUGAGUGACGAUGAUGCUGAGACCAAUGACUCUGGGGAGGUAGUGAUUUCGUAGUCUGAGUCCUCCGAGAGUAGAGAUGAUGGUGAUUCGAGGUCUGAGAGUAGAGGUGAUGUUGAGUCAGGAUCUAAAGCAGAGAGCGGCGAUGAUUCCGAUUCUGGCUCCGGUUCAGGGUCUAUUUCAGACAGUGGCUCUGAUGGAGAUAGCUUUGAGUCUCCCCUCCAGGAAGAGGACGAAGAGGGCCUCUCGAGCCUGAGAUGACUGGCACUGAUUUAUUGGUACUUUUCUUAGUUUCUUUUUGUUAGUAGCAUUAACACAUGUAUAGUUUUAGGAAGUUUCUGUUUUGUUUUAAAACUUGCACUCCU